CACGUAGGGGGCAAGCGUUGUCCGGAUUUAUUGGGCGUAAAGAGCUCGUAGGUGGCUGAGUAAGUCGGGUGUCAAAGCCCCAGGCUCAACCUGGGAUCCCACCCGAUACUGCUCUGGCUAGAGUCCGGUAGGGGAGCGUGGAAUUCCUGGUGUAGCGGUGAAAUGCGCAGAUAUCAGGAGGAACACCAGCGGCGAAGGCGGCGCUCUGGGCCGGUACUGACACUGAGGAGCGAAAGCGUGGGUAGCAAACAGG
rnacentral:rRNA from 1 species